GACAACCCACCUGACCCCAUGCCGAACUCAGAAGUGAAACGCCGUAGCGCCGAUGGUAGUGUGGGGUCUCCCCAUGUGAGAGUAGGGAACUGCCAGGC
rnacentral:rRNA from 1 species